rnacentral:rRNA from 1 species
AGAGUUUGAUCAUGGCUCAGAUUGAACGCUGGCGGCAUGCUUUACACAUGCAAGUCGAACGGCAGCGCGGGGGCAACCCUGGCGGCGAGUGGCGAACGGGUGAGUAAUGCAUCGGAACGUAUCCUGUAAUGGGGGAUAACGUAGCGAAAGUUACGCUAAUACCGCAUACGCUCGAGAGAGGAAAGUGGGGGAUCGCAAGACCUCACGUUAUAGGAGCGGCCGAUGUCCGAUUAGCUAGUUGGUGGGGUAAAAGGCCUACCAAGGCGACGAUCGGUAGCUGGUCUGAGAGGAUGAUCAGCCACACUGGGACUGAGACACGGCCCAGACUCCUACGGGAGGCAGCAGUGGGGAAUUUUGGACAAUGGGCGAAAGCCUGAUCCAGCCAUGCCGCGUGCGGGAAGAAGGCCUUCGGGUUGUAAACCGCUUUAGUCCGGGAAAAAGGGGUGCGAGGAUAAUACCCUCGUGCUUUGAUGGUACUGGAAGAAUAAGCACCGGCUAACUACGUG